CAUGCAUCUGAAAUACUCAGAUUACAGUUGGGAUAUUUUAAUUUUUCAUUCACUCUUUUUUGAUCCUGGUCUGGGCAACGUUUCCCCUAGGUUGCAAAAAGAAAAUACAUUGUAUAUGUAACAUGUUCCCAUGUAUAUUGGACUUGGCUAUUGUCAACCACCACAAGUUCCUCUGGCAUGAUGCUUAUGAGGAGGAGAGAGAG
rnacentral:misc_RNA from 1 species